UUCUUAUCAAGAGAAGCAGAGGGAUAAGGCCCUGUGAAGCUUCAGCAACCUCUGAUUUAAUCAGAAAGGUGCUAAGUCCUACAAGACAAAAGUCUUGGAAGAUAAGAA
rnacentral:ncRNA from 2 species